AUGUGCUACAGGGUAGAAUGUUCAACCUGUGGGAAGGACACCUGGGGAGGAUGUGGUAAACAUUUGACCACACUCUAUGCUAGUAUUGACGAGGGAAUGCAUUGUAUGUGCCAUUCAUGGCCUGGUGUUGUUAUAAGUUCUCAACAACACAUAAACACAGCCACUCACCAACCAUCAUCAUCCUCUAAUGGUACAUCAACUUCUUUAAUUUUGUUCUUUUGUUUUUUAGUUGUAUACCUAUUAUACAUCAACUUUGCCUAG